AUGUUUUGCUUCAGCAAUACAUGUGUACUAAAAUUUGGAGGGAUAUAGAAUAGUUUAGCAUGACCCUUGCGCAAGGGUGACAUGCAAAUACGUGAAGCGUUCCAUAUUUUU